rnacentral:rRNA from 1 species
GGAGACAACAGUUGGAAACGACUGCUAACCCCCGAUGUACCGAAAGGGCAAAUAUUUAUAGCCUGAAGAAGAGCUCGCGUCCGAUUAGCUAGUUGGAGAGGUAAAAGCUCACCAAGGCGACGAUCGGUAGCUGGUCUGAGAGGACGAUCAGCCACACUGGGACUGAGACACGGCCCAGACUCCUACGGGAGGCAGCAGUGGGGAAUUUUCCGCAAUGGGCGCAAGCCUGACGGAGCAAGACCGCGUGGGGGAAGAAGGCUCUUGGGUUGUAAACUCCUUUUCUCUGGGAAGAACAAAAUGACGGUACCAGAGGAAUCAGCAUCGGCUAACUCCGUGCCAGCAGCCCGGUAAGACGGAGGAUGCAAGUGUUAUCCGGAAUGAUUGGGCGUAAAGCGUCCGCAGGUGGCAGUUCAAGUCUGCUGUCAAAGACCGGGGCUUAACCUCGGAAAGGCAGUGGAAACUGAACAGCUAGAGUAUGGUAGGGGCAAAGGGAAUUCCUGGUGUAGCGGUGAAAUGCGUAGAGAUCAGGAAGAACAUCGGUGGCGAAGGCGCUUUGCUGGACCAUAACUGACACUCAGGGACGAAAGCUAGGGGAGCGAAUGGGAUUAGAUACCCCAGUAGUCCUAGCCGUAAACGAUGGAUACUAGGUGUUGUCUGUAUCGACCCGGACAGUGCCGUAGCUAACGCGUUAAGUAUCCCGCCUGGGGAGUACGCACGCAAGUGUGAAACUCAAAGGAAUUGACGGGGGCCCGCACAAGCGGUGGAGUAUGUGGUUUAAUUCGAUGCAACGCGAAGAACCUUACCUGGUCUUGACAUCCUCGGAACUUGUCAGAGAUGACUUGGUGCCUUCGGGAACCGAGAGACAGGUGCUGCAUGGCUGUCGUCAGCUCGUGUCGUGAGAUGUUGGGUUAAGUCCCGCAACGAGCGCAACCCUUGUCCAUAGUUGCCAUCAUUCAGUUGGGCACUCUAUGGAGACUGCCGGUGACAAACCGGAGGAAGGUGGGGAUGACGUCAAGUCAUCGUGGCCCUUAUGACCAGGGCUACACACGUGCUACAAUGGCCGGUACAAAGGGUUGCCAACCCGCGAGGGGGAGCUAAUCCCAGAAAGCCGGUCGUAGUCCGGAUCGGAGUCUGCAACUCGACUCCGUGAAGUCGGAAUCGCUAGUAAUCGCGAAUCAGCCAUGUCGCGGUGAAUACGUUCCCGGGUCUUGUACACACCGCCCGUCACACCAUGGGAGUUGAUUGCACCAGAAGUAGGUAGCCUAACCGCAAGGGGGGCGCUUACCACGGUGUGGU